rnacentral:rRNA from 1 species
GAGUGAAGCGGGAAAAGCUCAAAUUUGAAAUCUGGCAGUUCUUGACUGUCCGAGUUGUAAACUAGAGAAGUGUUACCUGUGCUGGACCAUGUACAAGUCUCCUGGAAUGGAGCAUCAUAGAGGGUGAGAAUCCCGUCUUUGACAUGGACUACCUGUGCGUUAUGGUGCACUCUCAAAGAGUCGAGUUGUUUGGGAAUGCAGCUCAAAAUGGGUGGUAAAUGCCAUCUAAAGCUAAAUAUUGGCGAGAGACCGAUAGCGAACAAGUACCGUGAGGGAAAGAUGAAAAGAACUUUGGAAAGAGAGUUAAACAGUACGUGAAAUUGCUGAAAGGGAAACGCUUGAAGUCAGUCACAUUGGCUAGAAAUCAGCCUUGCUUUUGCUUGGUGUAUUUUCUAGUUGAUGGGUCAGCAUCAAUUUUGACCAUUGGAUAAAGUCUUUGGGAAUGUAGCAUCUUUGGAUGUGUUAUAGCCUAUUGUCAUAUACAGUGGUUGGAAUUGAGGAACUCAGCACGCCGCAAGGCCGGGUUUCGACCACGUUCGUGCUUAGGAUGCUGGCAUAAUGGCUUUAAUCGACCCGUCUUGAAACACGGACCAAGGAGUCUAACAUGCCUGCGAGUGUUUGGGUGGAAAACCCAUGCGCGUAAUGAAAGUGAAAGUUGAGAUCCCUGUAAAGGGGAGCAUUGACGCCCAGACCAGAACUUUUGGGACGGAUCUGCGGUAGAGCAUGUAUGUUGGGACCCGAAAGAUGGUGAACUAUGCCUGAAUAGGGUGAAGCCAGAGGAAACUCUGGUGGAGGCUCGUAGCGAUUCUGACGUGCAAAUCGAUCGUCAAAUUUGGGUAUAGGGGCGAAAGACUAAUCGAACCAUCUAGUAGCUGGUUCCUGCCGA